rnacentral:rRNA from 1 species
GAGCUUGAUCAUGGCUCAGAUUGAACGCUGGCGGCAGGCCUAACACAUGCAAGUCGAACGGUAACAGGAAACAGCUUGCUGUUUCGCUGACGAGUGGCGGACGGGUGAGUAAUGUCUGGGAAACUGCCUGAUGGAGGGGGAUAACUACUGGAAACGGUAGCUAAUACCGCAUAACGUCGCAAGACCAAAGAGGGGGACCUUCGGGCCUCUUGCCAUCAGAUGUGCCCAGAUGGGAUUAGCUAGUAGGUGGGGUAACGGCUCACCUAGGCGACGAUCCCUAGCUGGUCUGAGAGGAUGACCAGCCACACUGGAACUGAGACACGGUCCAGACUCCUACGGGAGGCAGCAGUGGGGAAUAUUGCACAAUGGGCGCAAGCCUGAUGCAGCCAUGCCGCGUGUAUGAAGAAGGCCUUCGGGUUGUAAAGUACUUUCAGCGGGGAGGAAGGGAGUAAAGUUAAUACCUUUGCUCAUUGACGUUACCCGCAGAAGAAGCACCGGCUAACUCCGUGCCAGCAGCCGCGGUAAUACGGAGGGUGCAAGCGUUAAUCGGAAUUACUGGGCGUAAAGCGCACGCAGGCGGUCUGUUAAGUCAGAUGUGAAAUCCCCGGGCUCAACCUGGGAACUGCAUCUGAUACUGGCAAGCUUGAGUCUCGUAGAGGGGGGUAGAAUUCCAGGUGUAGCGGUGAAAUGCGUAGAGAUCUGGAGGAAUACCGGUGGCGAAGGCGGCCCCCUGGACGAAGACUGACGCUCAGGUGCGAAAGCGUGGGGAGCAAACGGGAUUAGAUACCCUGGUAGUCCACGCCGUAAACGAUGUCGACUUGGAGGUUGUGCCCUUGAGGCGUGGCUUCCGGAGCUAACGCGUUAAGUCGACCGCCUGGGGAGUACGGCCGCAAGGUUAAAACUCAAAUGAAUUGACGGGGGCCCGCACAAGCGGUGGAGCAUGUGGUUUAAUUCGAUGCAACGCGAAGAACCUUACCUGGUCUUGACAUCCACGGAAGUUUUCAGAGAUGAGAAUGUGCCUUCGGGAACCGUGAGACAGGUGCUGCAUGGCUGUCGUCAGCUCGUGUUGUGAAAUGUUGGGUUAAGUCCCGCAACGAGCGCAACCCUUAUCCUUUGUUGCCAGCGGUCCGGCCGGGAACUCAAAGGAGACUGCCAGUGAUAAACUGGAGGAAGGUGGGGAUGACGUCAAGUCAUCAUGGCCCUUACGACCAGGGCUACACACGUGCUACAAUGGCGCAUACAAAGAGAAGCGACCUCGCGAGAGCAAGCGGACCUCAUAAAGUGCGUCGUAGUCCGGAUUGGAGUCUGCAACUCGACUCCAUGAAGUCGGAAUCGCUAGUAAUCGUGGAUCAGAAUGCCACGGUGAAUACGUUCCCGGGCCUUGUACACACCGCCCGUCACACCAUGGGAGUGGGUUGCAAAAGAAGUAGGUAGCUUAACCUUCGGGAGGGCGCUUACCACUUUGUGAUUCAUGACUGGGGUGGAGUCGUAACAAGGUAACCGUAGGGGAACCUGCGGUUG